GGUCAUGAGUGCCAGCAACAAGCCCCGGCUAGCUGGCCGGCAACCCUCCAACCGCGGUGGGGUGCCCCGGGUGAGGACCAGGCUCCCGCCAUCAGGCGGGACGCAAGCGCGGGUC
rnacentral:ncRNA from 1 species